rnacentral:rRNA from 1 species
GAGUUUGAUCAUGGCUCAGGAUGAACGCUGGCGGCGUGCUUAACACAUGCAAGUCGAACGAACCUUCGGGUUAGUGGCGGACGGGUGAGUAACGCGUGAGAAUCUGCCCUCAGGAGGGGGAUAACGGUUGGAAACGACCGCUAAUACCCCAUAUGCCGAUAGGUGAAAUGAAUUUCGCCUGAGGAUGAGCUCGCGUCUGAUUAGCUUGUUGGUGAGGCAAUGGCUCACCAAGGCUUCGAUCAGUAGCUGGUCUGAGAGGAUGAUCAGCCACACUGGGACUGAGACACGGCCCAGACUCCUACGGGAGGCAGCAGUGGGGAAUUUUCCGCAAUGGGCGAAAGCCUGACGGAGCAACGCCGCGUGAGGGACGAAGGCCUCUGGGCUGUAAACCUCUUUUCUCAAGGAAGAAGAUAUGACGGUACUUGAGGAAUAAGCCACGGCUAAUUCCGUGCCAGCAGCCGCGGUAAUACGGGAGUGGCAAGCGUUAUCCGGAAUUAUUGGGCGUAAAGCGUCCGCAGGCGGCCUUUCAAGUCUGCUGUUAAAGCGUGGAGCUUAACUCCAUUAUGGCAGUGGGAACUGAUCGGCUUGAGUAUGGUAGGGGCAGAGGGAAUUCCCGGUGUAGCGGUGAAAUGCGUAGAUAUCGGGAAGAACACCAGUGGCGAAGGCGCUCUGCUGGGCCAUUACUGACGCUCAUGGACGAAAGCCAGGGGAGCGAAAGGUAUUAGAUACCCCUGUAGUCCUGGCCGUAAACGAUGAACACUAGGUGUCGGGGGAAUCGACCCCUUCGGUGUCGUAGCUAACGCGUUAAGUGUUCCGCCUGGGGAGUACGCACGCAAGUGUGAAACUCAAAGGAAUUGACGGGGGCCCGCACAAGCGGUGGAGUAUGUGGUUUAAUUCGAUGCAACGCGCAGAACCUUACCAAGGUUUGUCAUCCUGAGAACCUCUUAGAAAUUUGAGGGUGCCUUCGGGAAUUCAGUGACAGGUGGUGCAUGGCUGUCGUCAGCUCGUGUCGUGAGAUGUUGGGUUAAGUCCCGCAACGAGCGCAACCCACGUUUUUGGUUGCCAGCAUUAGUUGGGCACUCUAGAAAGACCGCCGGUGAUAAACCGGAGGAAGGUGUGGAUGACGUCAAGUCAUCAUGCCCCUUACACCCUGGGCUACACACGUACUACAAUGCUACGGACAAAGGGCAGCAAACUCGCGAGAGCUAGCAAAUCCCAUAAACCGUGGCUCAGUUCAGAUCGUAGGCUGCAACUCGCCUACGUGAAGUAGGAAUCGCUAGUAAUCGCAGGUCAGCAUACUGCGGUGAAUACGUUCCCGGGCCUUGUACACACCGCCCGUCACACCAUGGAAGUUGGCCAUGCCCGAAGUCGUUACUCCAACCCUUGUGGAGGAGGACUCCGAAGGUGGGGCUAAUGACUGGGGUGAAGUCGUAACAAGGUAACC